GACGAACGCUGGCGGCGUGCUUUACACAUGCAAGUCGAACGGAAAGGCCCCGCUUUUGUGGGGUGCUCGAGUGGCGAACGGGUGAGUAACACGUGAGUAACCUGCCCUUGACUUUGGGAUAACUUCAGGAAACUGGGGCUAAUACCGGAUAGGAGCUCCUGCUGCAUGGUGGGGGUUGGAAAGUUUCGGCGGUUGGGGAUGGACUCGCGGCUUAUCAGCUUGUUGGUGGGGUAGUGGCUUACCAAGGCUUUGACGGGUAGCCGGCCUGAGAGGGUGACCGGCCACAUUGGUACUGAGAUACGGCCCAGACUCAUACGGGGGGCAGCAGGGGGGAAUAUUGCCCAAUGGGCGGAAGCCUGAUGCAGCAACGCCGCGUGCGGGAUGACGGACUUCGGGUUGUAAACCGCUUUCGCCUGUGACGAAGCGUGAGUGACGGUAAUGGGUAAAGAAGCACCGGCUAACUACGUG
rnacentral:rRNA from 1 species